UCCUACGGGAGGCAGCAGUGGGAAUAUGCACAAUGGGCGGAAGCCUGAUGCAGCGACGCCGCGUGAGGGAUGACGGCCUUCGGGUUGUAAACCUCUUUCAGUAGGGAAGAAGCGAGAGUGACGGUACCUGCAGAAGAAGCGCCGGCUAACUACGUGCCAGCAGCCGCGGUAAUACGUAGGGCGCAAGCGUUGUCCGGAAUUAUUGGGCGUAAAGAGCUCGUAGGCGGUUUGUCGCGUCUGCUGUGAAAGCCCGGAGCUCAACCCCGGGUCUGCAGUGGGUACGGGCAGACUAGAGUGCAGUAGGGGAGACUGGAAUUCCUGGUGUAGCGGUGAAAUGCGCAGAUAUCAGGAGGAACACCGAUGGCGAAGGCAGGUCUCUGGGCUGUUACUGACGCUGAGGAGCGAAAGCAUGGGGAGCGAACAGGAUUAGAUACCCUGGUAGUCCAUGCCGUAAACGUUGGGCACUAGGUGUGGGGGACAUUCCACGUUUUCCGCGCCGUAGCUAACGCAUUAAGUGCCCCGCCUGGGGAGUACGGCCGCAAGGCUAAAACUCAAAGGAAUUGACGGGGGCCCGCACAAGCGGCGGAGCAUGCGGAUUAAUUCGAUGCAACGCGAAGAACCUUACCAAGGCUUGACAUUCACCGGACCGCCCCAGAGAUGGGGUUUCCCUUCGGGGCUGGUGGACAGGUGGUGCAUGGUUGUCGUCAGCUCGUGUCGUGAGAUGUUGGGUUAAGUCCCGCAACGAGCGCAACCCUCGUUCUAUGUUGCCAGCACGUGAUGGUGGGGACUCAUAGGAGACUGCCGGGGUCAACUCGGAGGAAGGUGGGGAUGACGUCAAAUCAUCAUGCCCCUUAUGUCUUGGGCUUCACGCAUGCUACAAUGGCCGGUACAAAGGGUUGCGAUACUGUGAGGUGGAGCUAAUCCCAAAAAGCCGGUCUCAGUUCGGAUUGAGGUCUGCAACUCGACCUCAUGAAGUCGGAGUCGCUAGUAAUCGCAGAUCAGCAACGCUGCGGUGAAUACGUUCCCGGGCCUUGUACACACCGCCCGUCAAGUC
rnacentral:rRNA from 1 species